rnacentral:rRNA from 1 species
UACGGGGGGGGCAAGCGUUGUUCGGAAUUACUGGGCGUAAAGGGCUCGUAGGCGGCCAACUAAGUCAUACGUGAAAUCCCUCGGCUUAACCGGGGAACUGCGUCUGAUACUGGAUGGCUUGAGUUCGGGAGAGGGAUGCGGAAUUCCAGGUGUAGCGGUGAAAUGCGCAGAUAUCAGGAGGAACACCGGUGGCGAAGGCGGGUCUCUGGGCCGAUACUGACGCUGAGGAGCGAAAGCGUGGGGAGCAAACAGG